UCCGGCUUAUCACCGGCGGUUUCUUUAGAGUGCCCAACUAAAUGAUGGCAACUAAAGACGAGGGUUGCGCUCGUUGCGGGACUUAACCCAACAUCUCACGACACGAGCUGACGACAACCAUGCACCACCUGUGUACCUCCCCGAAGGACACCGUAUCUCUACGGCUUUUCGGUACAUGUCAAGCCCAGGUAAGGUUCUUCGCGUUGCCUCGAAUUAAGCAACAUGCUCCGCCGCUUGUGCGGGCCCCGUCAAUUCCUUUGAGUUUUAGCCUUGCGGCCGUACUUCCCAGGCGGGGCACUUAAUGCGUUAGCUACGGCACGGAGCCCGUCGAUCGAGCCCCACACCUAGUGCCCAACGUUUACGGCGUGGACUAC
rnacentral:misc_RNA from 1 species